rnacentral:lncRNA from 1 species
AGAUGUGUGGCUAACGCAAACCUGGAAGGACACCCUGACGGCGAUCAGUGCCCGUCGGACAGCAGAGUCCGUCCACGUCAGCGAGGAUGCCCGGGAAGGCCUGGCGGAAGAGCCCUCAGAAGAGGGUCCAGCAGAGAGCCAGGCCGGCGGCACCCGCAGACAACAGGGAGAAAGUGGCCCAUCAGAAGGGCUGGGAGCUUCUGCCUGGAGCCCCCCAAAGGGAGACACGCUGGACAGACUCCAGACAGGGGCCCGGGCGUUGUCGCAGGAGUGGUCAGGGUGUCCGGCCGCUCUGGACAGCGGUGGGGACCAGCCUGGGCCGGACAGGAUACGGGAAGGAGCCGAGUGGGCAGACGUGGUCAAGGAGGAAGCCGCCCUGCUCGGGGGGGGGGGGGGGACACAGAAGGGGGUCUCCAUUGUGAUGUUCAAAGAGUAAACGGAACUGGAUUUAAAGCAAAUCAGGAGUUGGAGUGGAGGGGUGUCGGCUGGGCCGCGGCAGCUGAUGCGGGGGAACCCACACCCCGUGAGUGGCGGGUGGGGGCCGCUGGGGGCCUGCGAGGUUUGGGGGUGACAGAACAGAGGAGGCGUCCGGACAAGGGAGGCCCCGGCCCAGCUUCCCAGAGCGGUCAGCCGCGGGCACCUGCAGCGCUGCUCAGGCUGGGGAACGAGCCAACACGGAGGCCGUGGCCGGGGGGCUUCUCGAGCGGCGGGAAGGGGGGCCGGGGAAGGCCUGCAGCAUUUCUUGGUGUGUCCAGAGGAAGAGCCACGAGGGAGACGAUGGUCGGAGGCAGGACUCGUUCUCGAGGACAAAGAGGGGGCUUGUGUGUCGAGAGAACUCUGGCCAGCUCCACGCGGACUCGGCUGGCUCCUGCGGGAGCGAGGACGCAGCCUGCAGGCUCGAAGGGCCGAGGUGAGCCGGGAUCUUUCCGGCUUCUGUUUCCCCUCCGUGGCAGAGUGGACAGGAGAGGAGUCGCGCAAGGAGGGGCCGAAUACACGAAGAAAACCACCUUCCCCCUCCGAGCAAUGGCUGUCCCUCCUCUCCUUCCGGGUGAGCCUCGUCCAUGUGUCUGUCCAUCAGUGGUGGGGAUGCAGGAACCAGUCAGGGGUCUGAGCAGAGGGAGGUGCGGAAGCGCGUCAAGGCCCGCCUGCGGCCUGACCCAUGAACGUUGUCUCGCGUCCUUCUGA